rnacentral:tRNA from 1 species
GCCGGCAUAGCACAGUGGUAGUGCAGCUGAUUUGUAAUCAGCAGGUCGUCGGUUCGAACCCGACUGCCGGCU